UGGGGAAUCUUGCGCAAUGGGCGAAAGCCUGACGCAGCGACGCCGCGUGAGUGAUGAAGGCCUUCGGGUUGUAAAGCUCUGUGGAGGGGGACGAAUAAGUCGGAGCGAAUAGCUCCGAUGAUGACGGUACCCCUUUAGCAAGCACCGGCUAACUCUGUGCCAGCAGCCGCGGUAAGACAGAGGGUGCAAACGUUGUUCGGAAUUACUGGGCGUAAAGCGCGUGUAGGCUGCUCGGAAAGUCGGAUGUGAAAGCCCUGGGCUCAACCUAGGAAGUGCAUUCGAAACUUCUGAGCUUGAGUAUCGGAGAGGAUCGCGGAAUUCUCGGUGUAGAGGUGAAAUUCGUAGAUAUCGAGAGGAACACCGGUGGCGAAGGCGGCGAUCUGGACGAUUACUGACGCUGAGACGCGAAAGCGUGGGGAGCGAAACAGGAUUAGAUACCCUGGUAGUCCACGCCGUAAACGAUGGGUGC
rnacentral:rRNA from 1 species